rnacentral:lncRNA from 1 species
AGAUCCAAACUCUUGACGAAGUUGUUGUGUUCUUGAGCGUAUUAUUUUUACUCAUAUCUACUGUAUAAAGAGAGUCUUGUCUUGAGUGCUAAGUGUUUGUACACACUUGAAGGGAUAUUCUAAUCCCUUGUUGUAAGAAGGAAAAGUAGUUCCAUGGUUUGAAGUCUUGAGGUGCGGUAUCCUCGAGCAGGUUGAAGUCUUGUAGAGUGUAUAUCUACGAGCAAGUGUAACGGUU